GUCUGCAUGGAGCCGACCUUGAAAUACCACCCUUUAAUGUUUGAUGUUCUAACGUGGACCCGUAAUCCGGGUUGCGGACAGUGUCUGGUGGGUAGUUUGACUGGGGCGGUCUCCUCCUAAAGAGUAACGGAGGAGCACGAAGGUUGGCUAAUCCUGGUCGGACAUCAGGAGGUUAGUGCAAUGGCAUAAGCCAGCUUGACUGCGAGCGUGACGGCGCGAGCAGGUGCGAAAGCAGGUCAUAGUGAUCCGGUGGUUCUGAAUGGAAGGGCCAUCGCUCAACGGAUAAAAGGUACUCCGGGGAUAACAGGCUGAUACCGCCCAAGAGUUCAUAUCGACGGCGGUGUUUGGCACCUCGAUGUCGGCUCAUCACAUCCUGGGGCUGAAGUAGGUCCCAAGGGUAUGGCUGUUCGCCAUUUAAAGUGGUACGCGAGCUGGGUUUAGAACGUCGUGAGACAGUUCGGUCCCUAUCUGCCGUGGGCGCUGGAGAACUGAGGGGGGCUGCUCCUAGUACGAGAGGACCGGAGUGGACGCAUCACUGGUGUUCGGGUUGUCAUGCCAAUGGCACUGCCCGGUAGCUAAAUGCGGAAGAGAUAAGUGCUGAAAGCAUCUAAGCACGAAACUUGCCCCGAGAUGAGUUCUCCCUGAGACUUAGA
rnacentral:rRNA from 1 species